UGCACCUUCAGACUGAUCUUGAUUGCAUGAAUGUCUGGAACUUGCAGUUUAAAUCAUUCACUGAGAGUGUUCGGGGGGGAAACGUGCUCACCAUGAAAGUCAAAGGUGUUGUUCAGUCUCUUUACAGCCAUAGAGAUGAUGAGGACACAGUGGACGUCAGUCUGUCCAGAAACUCAGCACAACGUUUAAAUACUUCUUUCAUCAUGUCAGUGUGUGUGUGUGUGUGUGUGUGUGUGUGUGUGUGUGUUCCCACGUGAGAUCCUCAGCUCCAGAAGUAAUCUGAGGUGAAGCUCCGGCAACAGCAGCUGUGAUUGUGUCCCUGUGUGAAGGCCUCUUCUCAGGAACAUUUCCUCAUCAUGGCUGCUGAAAUGGAGCCCAGUACCACUGGCGGCAACUGGGACCUGAUCCUCCAGUCUAAAAUGAAGAAGCAAAGACUGCAGUGUCACGUCCUGCAGGAUGGAAAGCCCGCCGUCAGACUGAUGACUUACAAAUACGACACACCAGCCCACAUUGACAUUCACAGCAUGUAGCAAGGACACGACUAAGACUGUAUCCUUGUCUCGUCUGCUGCUCUCAGCUCCGACAGGUGAUGUCCAGCAGCAGCCGUUUGGAGCACAAGUUGGAUCGCUGCCUUUGGACCCAAAAGAGACCACACAAGGUCAGGACCAUCUGAAUUAUUUGAAUGUGAAACCCCCUGCCCUGUGGAUGAAGAUGACCUAAAUGACCCCUACACGAGCCUUCAUUUACGCGAAAGUGAUCUCUACCAAACCAUUUCCUCAAUGCGUCAUCGACAUAACACCUACAGUUUCAGCCAGCAGUGAUAUAGUGAUGGCCCAGUCAGAUGAUCAGGAAAUAAACAAAAGAGAGACGAAUGGAAGUUGCUACACCAAUGAAACCAUUUACACCAAAAGUCAAGAUAACACACCUGUAUAACUAUAAUUAUUGGGACAGUGAAAAGUUGUGUUUUUUUUUUUUUUUUUAGAUAUGAUACUGGAUGAAGAUUGCAGUUUGCACAUACAGAAGCAUUAAAGAGGCCAAAGCAUUGUGAUUUUGAUACUUAUGGAGUGGUUUAGUCAUAAUAUAUAACUGUUAUGUUCAUUUGCAUGAUUAUCCUCCACUACCCUCCUCUCAGUACUUUUAUAGACACACUAGCUUGUUCAUAGAUGUUUUUGUUGAUGAAUUUUUUUGUGAGGUUGCUAAACCAUUGCAGAAGUCACAGAAAUCAAGACAUACUUGUGUUAAAAAUGCUUUAUCAAAUCAUUUCUUACAUAUACACUACCUCUACACUACACAGAAAGAAGUAUGUGCAUCUUACUACCUUUUUAAAAACAUCUAACAGGGUUCAAUAAAUGUUCAUACUGUCUGAAAACCCUUGAAUGUUGUAUUAAAAAUAGAGUUUUUGAUUGAAUUAAUUCAUCCAAGAUACUAAAAGUGCUCAAAAAGCUCUUAAAUGUAAGAUAAGUGAGUGCAGGUAUGAUUUAUCUGUUCUCUAUUUGUAUUCAUGCACCUUUUAAAGUGACGUUUGAGAAGUUUUAUUUUUAACAAUCAGGAUUAAUGACCUGAAAGUAGAAGCAGUCAGGUUCACUUCUGUUUUAGGACGCGUCACUCAUAUUGAACCUUAAUAAGGACAAAAGAGCAUUUCAUAACUGUAUUCUAAGGUCUUCUAGCAGCAGAUGUGACAUUUGUUCAGUCUUUUGACUAGUAUGGAUGGAUGGAAACAGUGUUUUUUUCUGCUUCUACCACUGUGUGCUGACACCAAAGGUACUGUACUAAAACUUUUUAUGAUUUAUGCAGGUCAUUUUGUGACUCUAAUUGUUAAAAAAUCAUUAAAUAUGGUCCACUGAGUUUCCUUUUGAUUGCAGUGACUGUUGUGAAAACCACUGGGAGAGAACCAGUCAUCACUCCUGUAUGUAUGAACGAAAACUUGGGUGUUAUUGUAGUAUUGACAUGUAGGAUCAGCACAAGGAGACAUUGGGGCGAAGCGUGUCAACUGCUAUACACACAUGACAAGAAAUUUAACCAAGAAUGCGACUCCAGGUUCACACUGAUGACUGAGAAUCAGACUAUAUUUCUCUGCCUGACCAGUUUAACACCAGUGGAUAGUGGGAACUACAGCUGUGAGUGUUCAUAUGAAAGAGGGACACAUCCUGUCCAUCUGGAUAUAACUGUUGAAGCAGAGGAAGAGGGCGGCACUUUUUCUGGCAUGAGGGUCAUCGCUACAGCCGUCAUCACUGUAACUGUUACAGCUACGUUCAUAAUGGCAGCUGGAAUCAUCUGUGGACCUAUCCUGAGAAGAAACAAUCACAGACAGAAUACAAGUUCAGGAGCAUCUGAAUUAACCAGAACUGAAACUCCCUGUGUUUUGGAAGAGGACCCCUACACAAGCCUUCAGCAGCCAGCCAGUGAUGUCUACCAAACUAUCUCCAACCAACUACCAGAUUCAACCAGCGUCAGUGUAAUAAUCUCCCGUUUUUAUUAUCAGGAGACAGACAACGAGGAAGAUUUCCAUCCAGUUUAUUCAGUCUAUGAAACUAUAUAAAACUAAGCUGGAAAUGAUGCAGUAAAUGUCAACACAUGGACUUUAUUUCUUCAUUUAUUAGUGAAUAUAAAUGAACAUUGACAGACUUGCUAGCGUAGUUUGAACAUUUUUGUACACUAUUACUAAAAAUACAGAGAAUAUAUUGUAUAUCUAUUAAUUGAUCAUUUAAUUUCCAAAAAGUUUGUAAUGCUUGAACU